AACGCGAAGAACCUUACCUGGGCUUGAACCGCACAGGACCAUUCCUAGAAAUAGGGACUUCCCGCAAGGGACCUGUGUAGAGGUGCUGCAUGGCUGUCGUCAGCUCGUGCCGUGAGGUGUUGGGUUAAGUCCCGCAACGAGCGCAACCCUUACUCGUAGUUGCCACCCGCAAGGGGGAACUCUACGAGGACUGCUCCGGAUAACGGAGAGGAAGGUGGGGAUGAGGUCAAGUCAGCAUGGCCUUUAUGUCCAGGGCUACACACGUGUUACAAUGCGCGCCACAAUGCGUCGCGAACCCGCGAGGGGGAGCUAAUCGCAAAAAAGCGCGCUCAGUUCGGAUUGCAGUCUGCAACUCGACUGCAUGAAGCUGGAAUCGCUAGUAAUGGCGCAUCAGAACGGCGCCGUGAAUACGUUCCCGGGCCUUGUACACACCGAGACGAC
rnacentral:rRNA from 1 species